CCAGGAUCUGCUCUUUGGUGUGGGUCUCCGGCCUCAGCCACUGACGGCAAAGUUCCCGCAAGAGGGUUCAGUAGGAAUGC